AGGAUUCCCCGAGUAGCGGCGAGCGAAACGGGAGAAGCCCAGCGCCGAAGCCCUCCGUCCCCGGCGGAAGUGCAAUGUGGCGUUACGGUGGCACGCUCGCCGCGGCUUCCCAGGCACGAGUACCUCUGAACGGGUCGGCCCACAGCGGGUGUCAGGCCUCUACAUUCAGCCAAUUGGGUCGUCGCGGCACGCCGUCACCGCGGAGUCGGGUUGCUUGAGAGUGCAGCCCUAAGUGGCAGGUAAGCUCCUGCUAAGGCUAAAUACCUAGUGGCACACCGAUAGCAAACAAGUACCGUGAGGGAAAGUUGAAAAGAACUUU
rnacentral:rRNA from 1 species